CGGAAUAUAACUUAACGGUAGAGUGUCACCUUGACAUAGUGGAAGUCAUCAAUUCGAGCUUGAUUGUCCCUA
rfam:Eucalyptus grandis cultivar BRASTZ1 unplaced genomic scaffold scaffold_5, whole genome shotgun sequence.